rnacentral:RNase_P_RNA from 1 species
AGGAGCGGACGCAUGGCCGCCGGCCGCAGACGCGGCUGGAGGAAAGUCCGAACUCCACAGGGCAGGGUGGUUCGUAACGCGAACUGGGGGCGACCCCGAGGAAAGUGCCACAGAAAAUAUACCGCCGGGCCGCGAGGCUCCGGUAAGGUUGAAAUGGCGAGGUAAGAGCUCACCGCCCGUGUGGUGACACGCGGGGCAUGGUAAACCCCACCUGGAGCAAAAUCAAAUAGGGAGACGUUUGAGGGCGGCCCGUCCGAAGUCUCCGGGUAGAUUGCUAGAGGCAGCAGGCGACUGCUGUCCCAGAUAAAUGGUCAUGGUUCACCGUCAGGUGAAUACAGAAUUCGGCUUAUAGUCCGCUCCUUUUU